CAGAAGAAUGCAGAUAUAAAUGCAGUAGAUAAAAUGAACAGCAUUCACCACCAAAUUUCAGAAUAUAAAGAAGAAAAGAUACCUGACGAUCUUUCUGAAAACAGCAAUCCAGUGUUUUCCAGACUCCCA